UCUUGGACAGUUUCUCAAAAGGCACUCUGGGACAACCGCACGCCAUGGUACUACGCUGCCGCACUCUGGCUGCUGCAAUUGGGUUCUGUUCCUAGUCACGUGGCCCUGAUGCCAGAUGGCAGCCGACGGUUUUCGCAGCAAACGGGCACAGACCUUCGACGCACAUACGCCACUGGAACGCAUCUAUUCAGCACGGCAUGUCGGUGGUGCUUCGAAGCGGGUGUCAGUAGAGUGACAGCGUUUGUGUUCGCACUGCGUCACCUGCGCCGCAGCAACUUUGAAAAGAACGCCCUCUUCUCGAAAACUGUGGGCACCUGGGCCGACAGCCUACGCACUCUGGAUCUCAUCGAUAGCCUUGGUAUGCGGAUGAUGUGUGUGGGUCAAACUGAAGUCAUUCCGAUUGAGCUACAAGUUAAGCUAGCUGAAUUGGAAGCGGCUACCUCACACGGUCAAAGGUGAGUGCCCUUAGAGUUGUUUUUCACUCUUUUUGAGUUCUACCACUGA